UGGUGAGUCUUUCCCUGUAUGUCAAAUAUUAUCCAAGUUACAACUGUGGUGUUGAAGUGAUGGAGCAGGGUUUAGGAGAUAAGUAUCAUCGAAGCUCCCUGUGUAAGCGUGUAUCUGAACACAGCAGCAGUAGGCGUGUAAGGUGUAGUCUUUUUCAGGGUUAGGGACAUUUUGUUCUAUUUUUGGAGCUUUUGCCUGCGGUUUGGCUGGCUGUAGAGUCUUUAGACCUUGCAGCCUUCCAGACUUUAAGUGCUUGGAAUUCACGUAAUAGAGGUGUGCUUAGGAGGUGUUGCCGGCUAACUUGUUUUUGGGAAAUGGUGGGGUAUGUUUCCUUUUUAUUUGGGUUAUCUUUUAAUCUCUAGAUAUAUCAAGCCAUUUGCAUAACUGUCCAGAGGCUUCACAAAGAGCUUCAGUAUGCAUUGCAAGGGGCUUGACCGCAUAAGCGCAGUAUUACGGAGAGACUGAGCAAGGUCACCUUUUACAUCUGUAAAGGCCCAGGGCAUGGGCACGGACACUUGAAUGAGGCACGAGGGCUUUGGAAGCACCUCGCGACAGCAGAGUACAUCUCCUGCCACGUUCCUGAGGCGUGCCAGGCGUCAGCGGUUCCAGUUCGUGAAAUGCUGGAGAUGCUCAGAGCACAAGAGGAGCUGGGAGCGUGAUGCAUCUCCUUGGUAUGUUAGCUACGUGACCUUGGCUCAGCACAGUAAAUGGAAGCGCUAAGCCUGGAUCGGGAAGCUGAGUGGAGAAAAGUUGGAAAAAGGGCAUUGGUUUUGGUUUGGUAGUCUAUCGGUCCCACCUCUGGGUGAGUCCUCUUUUCCGGGGACGAAGAAGAUACUGGGAACAUCCUAGUUGGCCUCUGUGGUCCACCUUGAGGAUGGAUUCAGACCCCUGAGAAUUAAGUCCAGGGGCAAAUACUGUGUGUUUGGGGGUGGCUGGCAGGGUAAGGCGGGCAGUUGUCUAGAGUUUGUCUAUCUGACUUCAGUAGCAGAGCAGGUCAGUGGACUACUGUUUUGUUUUUGAGGUGGGUGUUUCACUGGAAGAAGUUUGGCUGGUGUGCCAGUGCCUGAUGGCACUUUAUU